rnacentral:tRNA from 1 species
GGGGGAGUGAGUUAGCGGCCUAUUCGCUCGGUCUCCAAAACCGAGAACCCGGGUUCGAAUCCCGGCUCCCCCG